rnacentral:rRNA from 1 species
AGCGAACGCUGGCGGCAGGCCUAACACAUGCAAGUCGAACGAAGUCUUCGGACUUAGUGGCGGACGGGUGAGUAACACGUGGGAACGUACCUUUUGGUUCGGAACAACUCAGGGAAACUUGAGCUAAUACCGAAUGUGCCCUUAGGGGGAAAGAUUUAUCGCCAUUAGAGCGGCCCGCGUUAGAUUAGCUAGUUGGUGGGGUAAAGGCCCACCAAGGCUACGAUCUAUAGCUGGUCUGAGAGGAUGAUCAGCCACACUGGGACUGAGACACGGCCCAGACUCCUACGGGAGGCAGCAGUGGGGAAUCUUGCGCAAUGGGCGAAAGCCUGACGCAGCCAUGCCGCGUGAAUGAUGAAGGUCUUAGGAUUGUAAAAUUCUUUCAGUAGGGACGAUAAUGACGGUACCUACAGAAGAAGCCCCGGCUAACUUCGUGCCAGCCGCCGCCGUAAAAC